GAUGAACGCUAGCGACAGGCUUAACACAUGCAAGUCGAGGGGCAGCGGGGGUGAUGGCUUGCCAUCGCCUGCCGGCGACCGGCGCACGGGUGAGUAACACGUAUGCAACCUGCCCGCCACAGGGGGAUAAGCGGAAGAAAUUCCGUCUAAUACCGCGUGACGCGGCGCCGGGGCAUCCCGGUGCCGCCAAAGGGAUUACCGGUGGCGGAUGGGCAUGCGGCGCAUUAGCUAGUCGGCGGGGUAACGGCCCACCGAGGCGACGAUGCGUAGGGGUUCUGAGAGGAAGGUCCCCCACACUGGUACUGAGACACGGACCAGACUCCUACGGGAGGCAGCAGUGAGGAAUAUUGGUCAAUGGGCGCGAGCCUGAACCAGCCAAGUCGCGUGAGGGAUGACGGUCCUACGGAUUGUAAACCUCUUUUGCCGGGGAGCAAGCGUGCGUUCGUGAACGCGCGUCGAGA
rnacentral:rRNA from 1 species